CAGCCGCCGCGGGAAUACGUAGGGUGCAAGCGUUAAUCGGAAUUACUGGGCGUAAAGCGUGCGCAGGCGGUUAUAUAAGUCAGAUGUGAAAUCCCCGGGCUCAACCUGGGAACUGCAUUUGAGACUGUAUGGCUAGAGUGUGUCAGAGGGGGGUAGAAUUCCACGUGUAGCAGUGAAAUGCGUAGAUAUGUGGAGGAAUACCGAUGGCGAAGGCAGCCCCCUGGGAUAACACUGACGCUCAUGCACGAAAGCGUGGGGAGCAAACAGGAUUAGAUACCCCUGUAGUCCCUGUCUCUUAUCA
rnacentral:rRNA from 1 species